CCCUGAUGUGGGGGAUAACCAUUGGAAACGAUGGCUAAUACCGCAUAAUGCCUACGGGCCAAAGAGGGGGACCUUCGGGCCUCUCGCGUCAGGAUAUGCCUAGGUGGGAUUAGCUAGUUGGUGAGGUAAUGGCUCACCAAGGCGACGAUCCCUAGCUGGUCUGAGAGGAUGAUCAGCCACACUGGAACUGACACACGGUCCACACUCCUACGGGAGGCAGCAGUGGGGAAUAUUGCACAAUGGGCGCAAGCCUGAUGCAGCCAUGCCGCGUGUGUGAAGAAGGCCUUCGGGUUGUAAAGCACUUUCAGUCGUGAGGAAGGUGGUGUAGUUAAUAGCUGCAUUACUUGACGUUAGCGACAGAAGAAGCACCGGCUAACUCCGUGCCAGCAGCCGCGGUAAUACGGAGGGUGCGAGCGUUAAUCGGAAUUACUGGGCGUAAAGCGCAUGCAGGUGGUUUGUUAAGUCAGAUGUGAAAGCCCGGGGCUCAACCUCGGAAUAGCAUUUGAAACUGGCAAACUAGAGUACUGUAGAGGGGGGUAGAAUUUCAGGUGUAACGGUGAAAUGCGUACAGAUCUGAAGGAAUACCGGUGGCGAAGGCGGCCCCCUGGACAGAUACUGACACUCAGAUGCGAAAGCGUGGGGAGCAAACAGGAUUAGAUACCCUGGUAGUCCACGCCGUAAACGAUGUCUACUUGGAGGUUGUGGCCUUGAGCCGUGGCUUUCGGAGCUAACGCGUUAAGUAGACCGCCUGGGGAGUACGGUCGCAAGAUUAAAACUCAAAUGAAUUGACGGGGGCCCGCACAAGCGGUGGAGCAUGUGGUUUAAUUCGAUGCAACGCGAAGAACCUUACCUACUCUUGACAUCCAGAGAACUUUCCAGAGAUGGAUUGGUGCCUUCGGGAACUCUGAGACAGGUGCUGCAUGGCUGUCGUCAGCUCGUGUUGUGAAAUGUUGGGUUAAGUCCCGCAACGAGCGCAACCCUUAUCCUUGUUUGCCAGCGAGUAAUGUCGGGAACUCCAGGGAGACUGCCGGUGAUAAACCGGAGGAAGGUGGGGACGACGUCAAGUCAUCAUGGCCCUUACGAGUAGGGCUACAC
rnacentral:rRNA from 1 species